rnacentral:lncRNA from 1 species
AUGAUUGGAAGCUCAAAGAGCACCCUGACAAGAAAUUUGAAGUUCUUUAUGGUGAUGUUGUGAAAGAGCAGCAAGCUACCUGGGAAUGCAUGGGGAAACAGAUCAAUGGUAUUUUGUCAGGAGGACGAAACAAGCCUGCUAUGAAGAAUCCUUUAAAUCCAAAUGCCAACACCGGAGGAAGAAACAAGCCUCCUAUGAAGAAUUUAAAUUCAAAUGCCAACAUUCCUGCACUUCCAGGUGGCGGUAAAUCCGCUCCUGGAUCACUUUCGCGAACAUCUAUGUCAGAAAAGACUCGAGAAGCUUUAC